AAAAACCUACUUCCAACUUGUCCAUUCGGGCAGUGACACAUUGGCGGUGAGGCCUGCGUAAAAGCCAGGAGAGCGGCAACAAGAAGCCAACUCCUCGUCAUGUUAAUAUCUCGAUAACUAUGCCAACUGCCCACUUGAUAUACCCCAUCCUUAAAACCGACUGGUUACGAAACUACCAGUUUUAUCGUUAUCAUGCCGUCGCGUCUCCCCGCGCUGGUUUUCUUAAUGUAACAUAUUGGUGACGCAAAGUUGCUAAUUUGUUUAUAUAUCGG
ensembl:ncRNA ZC487.8 ncRNA